UCUUUUCUUGCACUGUAUUGUUAUUUCAGCCGUCGGUUCUGUGGAAAGGUGCUUGUGUGGCCAGUGGAAGAUAGUCAUUGGAUCAAUUUAAAGACAACCUCGGAUGAACUUGCUCAGAGGAGCCAUGAGCUCUGUGAGGAUGCAGUUUUGACCAAGAUCUAAUGAAGAAACUGCAAGAGCCAAAUUUGAUGUUCUUGGAGAUGCCAUUGUUCAUUGCGGGAGACUCACUACCUUGCGUGAACUGAUGAGGAAAGCUGAUAUAUGGCUGAUACAAAACUACUGGGAUUUUCAGUUUCCUCAUCCACUCUUACCUGAUUUUGAAUUUGUUGGAGGACUCCAGUGCAAACCUACCAAACUCUUCCCCAAGGGUAAACUUUGGUGUCUUGAAAUUCGUUUUCUUUCCCAAUCCAGAUAUCAUCUUAUAGAAAAGACACGGGAGAAUAUACAAAUUUCUUCACAGCAUUCCCUCACAUAUUAUGUUCUUCAUUAUCACAGAAGAUUCUGGGAUACAG
rnacentral:lncRNA from 1 species